GCCCGGUUAGCUCAAUCGGUAGAGCGUGAGACUCUUACCAGGCAUAAAAUCUCAAGGUUGCGGGUUCGACCCCCGCAUCGGGCU